rnacentral:rRNA from 1 species
UACGUAGGGUGCGAGCGUUAAUCGGAAUUACUGGGCGUAAAGGGCUCGUAGGCGGUUUGUCGCGUCGGGAGUGAAAACACGGGGCUUAACCCCGUGCCUGCUUCCGAUACGGGCAGACUAGAGGUAUGCAGGGGAGAACGGAAUUCCUGGUGUAGCGGUGAAAUGCGCAGAUAUCAGGAGGAACACCGGUGGCGAAGGCGGUUCUCUGGGCAUUACCUGACGCUGAGGAGCGAAAGUGUGGGGAGCGAACAGG